UUCGAUGGAGGAAGCAUCAAUGCCCCAUAAAGCUAAAGCUUCUCUGAUAUGUCAAUCUUUUAAAAUGAGUAUUUUUUCCAUAAAUCGGGCACGCUAACUCACCUUUCGUGCUCCAACCCGAUAUUAGAGCAUAAGCUGGAAAGUCAUUUAUUAUCCACAUAAGCAUCAUACGCAUGAAGAAUGACUCAUUCAUCAAAGCAUCAAAAGUUGGAACAUCUUGAAUGCUCCAUAACUAUUUUAGCUUGACAAUAAGAGGCUACAAAUAGACAUCAAUGUCAUUUCCUACCUUUAUUGAUCC
rnacentral:lncRNA from 1 species